UUUGCUGGCUUCUAUUUAUAUUAGCAGAACUAGAUAAUACUGGAAACCUCACAAUCAGAAGCUGAUGAACUUUUUUUCUUCUAAUUCCACACAGAAUGGAUUAAUCAUUGUCUUUCCCCCAAGGUUACCUUUUACCAAGACCCCUGAAGAAGAAACACUUCCAAAGGGUGUUGCUAUGAAAACAAAAGGUUUCUUCGUAAAUACAUUUGUGCUGCAUGAAGAAAGCAAGACAGCCUUGAAGUAUUUCCAGUGGAUUUUUCUGAUGAUUUCCAACAGACGGCGAUAGUUCUGCUGGGGGAGCUGACAAUGGAUAUGAGCUACGUGGCCCAGCAGAGGGCAGCAGGCUAACAGAAGAUGUUGCUGCCUGUAAUCAGGUAUCUGCUGCCGGCCGCUUUCUUCGGAGGAUAUUUGGUUUGCAUUUAUCACUGUCACACCCUGAGAUCCAGCCUC